GUUGAAAUAUUUCAAGCGGUUGCUUGAAACCCUGGGGAAGGAUUCAGGGUCUAGUGGGUGCAAGCCCGUGGAAGUUCGAGUCUUCUCUUCGGCACCA
rnacentral:tRNA from 2 species